AGGAUGAACGCUGGCGGCGUGCCUAAUACAUGCAAGUCGAACGAGGUCUUCGGACCGAGUGGCGAACGGGUGAGUAACACGUUGGUACCUACCCCGAAGUGGGGAAUAACUGCCCGAAAGGGUGGCUAAUACCGCAUAAUACCGCAAGGUUAAAGUCAGUAAUGCGCUUCGGGAGGGGCCUGCGUCCCAUUAGCUAGUUGGUAGGGUAAUGGCCUACCAAGGCGACGAUGGGUAGCUGGAUCGAGAGGUUGACCAGCCACACUGGGACUGAGAUACGGCCCAGACUCCUACGGGAGGCAGCAGUAAGGAAUCUUCCACAAUGGACGAAAGUCUGAUGGAGCAACGCCGCGUGCAGGAUGACGGCCUUCGGGUUGUAAACUGCUUUUAUAUGGGAAGAUUAUGACGGUACCAUAUGAAUAAGGACCGGCUAACUACGUGCCAGCAGCCGC
rnacentral:rRNA from 1 species